rnacentral:rRNA from 1 species
GAUGAACGCUAGCGAUAGGCCUAACACAUGCAAGUCGAGGGGCAGCACAAGGAGCAAUCUGAGGUGGCGACCGGCGCACGGGUGAGUAACACGUAUGCAACCUGCCUUCAACAAGGGGAUAACCCGUUGAAAGACGGACUAAUACCCUAUAACACAGGGGUCCCGCAUGGGGAUAUUUGUUAAAGGACAACCGGUUGAAGAUGGGCAUGCGUUCCAUUAGCUAGUUGGCGGGGUAAGGGCCCACCAAGGCAACGAUGGAUAGGGGAACUGAGAGGUUUAUCCCCCACACUGGUACUGAGACACGGACCAGACUCCUACGGGAGGCAGCAGUGAGGAAUAUUGGUCAAUGGACGCAAGUCUGAACCAGCCACGUCGCGUGAAGGAAGACGGCCCUACGGGUUGUAAACUUCUUUUAUACGGGAAUAAAGUGCCCCACGCGUGGGGUUUUGCAUGUACCGUAUGAAUAAGGAUCGGCUAACUCCGUG